rnacentral:rRNA from 1 species
UACGUAGGGUGCGAGCGUUAAUCGGAAUUACUGGGCGUAAAGAGUGCGUAGGCGGUGCUCUAAGUCUGUUGUGAAAUCUCCCGGCUCAACUGGGAGGGUGCGGCGGAAACUAGAGUGCUAGAGUAUGGGAGAGGUAAGCGGAAUUCCUGGUGUAGCGGUGAAAUGCGUAGAUAUCUGGAGGAACACCGGUGGCGAAGGCGGCAUCCUGGACCAACACUGACGCUGAUGAGCGAAAGCCAGGGGAGCAAACGGG